rnacentral:snRNA from 1 species
AUACUUACCCGGCAGUGGAGAUACCAUGAUCACGAAGGUGAUUUUCCCAGGGCAAGACUUAUCCAUUGCACUUUGGAUGUGCUGUCCCUUGCAACUUCCUGAAAUGUGGGAAACUUGACUACAUAAUUUGUGGUAGUGGGGGACUGUGUUUGUGCUCUCCCCUG